AUGAAAAUUUUCCUAUGGUUUCUCAACAAAGGAGUUAUCUUAACUAGGGACAAUCUAGCUCGACGAAACUGGCAAUGCUGCAAAAAAUGUGUUUUCUACAAUCAUAAUGAAUCCAUUAAACACCUAUUUUUUGAUUGCAAGUUUGCUAGAUCGGUAUGGGCAAUAGUCCAAAUUGCUUCGAAUCUAUAUCCUCCAUGCAGCGUACGAAAUAUGUUCGACAAUUGGUUGAGGGGAAUAGAUAAACAAUUGUCUAAGCACAUUCUUGCGGGGGCAGCUGCCUUAUGUUGGGCAUUGUGGCUCACCAGGAAUGAUAUUGUUUUUUAUCAUAAAAGUGUUUCAUCUCCUAUGCAGGUAAUUCAUAUAUGCUCGCGAUGGCUCCGUAUGUGGUCUAUCCUGCAGAGGCCGGAGGACAGAGACCUUUUUAUGAUGGCUUCUACCCGGUUGAAGUGCUCGGCCAGGGACAUUUUUUACCCCCAUGGAUGGCAGUGUGACCUUCGGAUUGGACCAGCAUCACCUUAG
rnacentral:rRNA from 1 species